GACGAACGCUGGCGGCGUGCUUAACACAUGCAAGUCGAACGGAAAGGCCCUGCUUUUGUGGGGUGCUCGAGUGGCGAACGGGUGAGUAACACGUGAGUAACCUGCCCUUGACUUUGGGAUAACUUCAGGAAACUGGGGCUAAUACCGGAUAGGAGCUCCUGCUGCAUGGUGGGGGUUGGAAAGUUUCGGCGGUUGGGGAUGGACUCGCGGCUUAUCAGCUUGUUGGUGGGGUAGUGGCUUACCAAGGCUUUGACGGGUAGCCGGCCUGAGAGGGUGACCGGCCACAUUGGGACUGAGAUACGGCCCAGACUCCUACGGGAGGCAGCAGUGGGGAAUAUUGCACAAUGGGCGGAAGCCUGAUGCAGCAACGCCGCGUGCGGGAUGACGGCCUUCGGGUUGUAAACCGCUUUCGCCUGUGACGAAGCGUGAGUGACGGUAAUGGGUAAAGAAGCACCGGCUAACUACGUGCCAGCAGCCGCGGUGAUACGUAGGGUGCGAGCGUUGUCCGGAUUUAUUGGGCGUAAAGGGCUCGUAGGUGGUUGAUCGCGUCGGAAGUGUAAUCUUGGGGCUUAACCCUGAGCGUGCUUUCGAUACGGGUUGACUUGAGGAAGGUAGGGGAGAAUGGAAUUCCUGGUGGAGCGGUGGAAUGCGCAGAUAUCAGGAGGAACACCAGUGGCGAAGGCGGUUCUCUGGGCCUUUCCUGACGCUGAGGAGCGAAGGCGUGGGGAGCGAACAGGCUUAGAUACCCUGGUAGUCCACGCUGUAAACGGUGGGUACUAGGUGUGGGGUCCAUUCCACGGGUUCCGUGCCGUAGCUAACGCUUUAAGUACCCCGCCUGGGGAGUACGGCCGCAAGGCUAAAACUCAAAGGAAUUGACGGGGCCCCGCACAAGCGGCGGAGCAUGCGGAUUAAUUCGAUGCAACGCGUAGAACCUUACCUGGGUUUGACAUGGAUCGGGAGUGCUCAGAGAUGGGUGUGCCUCUUUUGGGGUCGGUUCACAGGUGGUGCAUGCCUGUCGUCAGCUCGUGUCGUGAGAUGUUGGGUUAAGUCCCGCAACGAGCGCAACCCUUGUUCACUGUUGCCAGCACGUUAUGGUGGGGACUCAGUGGAGACCGCCGGGGUCAACUCGGAGGAAGGUGGGGAUGACGUCAAGUCAUCAUGCCCCUUAUGUCCAGGGCUUCACGCAUGCUACAAUGGCUGGUACAGAGAGUGGCGAGCCUGUGAGGGUGAGCGAAUCUCGGAAAGCCGGUCUCAGUUCGGAUUGGGGUCUGCAACUCGACCUCAUGAAGUCGGAGUCGCUAGUAAUCGCAGAUCAGCAACGCUGCGGUGAAUACGUUCCCGGAGCU
rnacentral:rRNA from 1 species